rnacentral:rRNA from 1 species
CAAUAGCGUAUAUUAAAGUUGUUGCGGUUAAAAGCUCGUAGUUGGAUUUCUGUUGAGGACGACCGGUCCGCCCUCUGGGUGAGUAUCUGGCUCGGCCUUGGCAUCUUCUUGGAGAACGUAACUGCACUUGACUGUGUGGUGCGGUAUCCAGGACUUUUACUUUGAGGAAAUUAGAGUGUUUCAAGCAGGCGUACGCCUUGAAUACAUUAGCAUGGAAUAAUGAGAUAGGACCUUGGUUCUAUUUUGUUGGUUUGCGUUACAAAGUAAUGAUUAAUAGGGACAGUUGGGGGUAUUCGUAUUUCGUUGUCAGAGGUGAAAUUCUUGGAUUUCCGAAAGACGAACUACUGCGAAAGCAUUUACCAAGGAUGUUUUCAUUAAUCAAGAACGAAAGUUAGGGGAUCGAAGACGAUUAGAUACCAU